UAGGAAUCUUGCGCAAUGGGGGAAACCCUGACGCAGCGACGCCGCGUGAGCGAUGAAGGCCUUCGGGUCGUAAAGCUCUUUUAGUGGGGACGAAAAAAAUGACGGUACCCACAGAAAAAGCACCGGCUAACUCCGUGCCAGCAGCCGCGGUAAUACGGAGGGUGCGAGCGUUAUUCGGAAUUACUGGGCGUAAAGAGCUCGUAGGCGGUUUAAUAAGUCUGAUGUGAAAGCCCUGGACUCAAUCUAGGAAGUGCAUUGGAUACUGUUAGACUCGAGUAUAGGAGAGGUGAGUGGAAUUCCUGGUGUAGAGGUGAAAUUCGUAGAUAUCAGGAGGAACAACGGUGGCGAAGGCGACUCACUGGACUAUUACUGACGCUGAGGAGCGAAAGCGUGGGGAGCAAAC
rnacentral:rRNA from 1 species